AUAGGGAUCCCUUGAAAAUAUGGGCAUGCGUAAUCUGGAUGGAUGUGCACAUUUCAAGGAGAAAAAAAAGGAGAGAGAGAGAGAGGAGCUGAGGAUAUGUUCGAUGCUGCAACCUGCGGCCGUUUCUGUCAUGGAAGAAAAGCUUUGGAUCCACCAGCUCGUUUCUGUACUUGGACAGUAUAAAUAGCCGAAGGGCACGCAGAGCGUUGCAUCCAAUCCAAGGCCACAGAUUUGUGUGUGUGCAGUGUGCUAGAGAGUGGCGAUAAGAGUCUGUCCAGAUAGCCAAGGAUGACUUGCCUGUGGCUUCUUGGCUUGGCUUGGCUCGGGCAAAACCUUGUGCACGUUUUAUUGCUCGCCUCGUGGCCUCGAUCACAGGCAGUCUCCUUGGCUAGUCCGGGCGGGCCCCUUAUCUGAAACCGAUCCCUGGUUCAUUCAUAUAUCGGUGAGCGUGCGACCGAGGGAAAGCAUAUAUGCGGUGCAGGUGCAGGUGCAGGCGUGACAGCUACUAGCUCUGGGCAGAGGACUGGCCUGGCAUGGCGAUGGAAGCUCUGCUUCGGUAGCCAAGGAUGAGCUGCCUGUGGCCUCCUGCUGCGGACGUUGCGUGGCCCCGCCUCCACCGCGUGCGGUCCCCGCAGGCAGCCUCCUUGGCUAGUCUGAGCGGCUUCCAUCCUCCAUGCUAGGCUCAUCUCCUCUUCAGUUAAUCUGUAAAUGCAGCAGCUUUGCUUUAAAGUCGUGGCACGUCAUCAGAAGCAGUGCAUCA
rnacentral:precursor_RNA from 1 species